GUUAGGGUUGGGGGUUAUGUAAGAAGCGUUACGUUUAUGUAAGAAGCGUUACGGUUAGGGGUUAGGGUAAGGUAAGAAGCGUUAGGGUUAGGGGUUAUGUAAGAAGGGUUAGGGUUAGGGGUUAUGUAGGAAGCGUUAGGGGUUAGGGGUUAUGUAAGAAGCGUUAGGGUUAGUGGUUAUGUAAGAAGCGUUAGGGUUAGGGGUUAUGUAAGAAGCGUUAGGGUUAGGUAAGAAGCGUUAGAGUUAGGGUUAGGGGUUAGGGUUAGGGUUAGUGUUGUAAUUAUUCUAACCGCAAUCUGUUUUAGUCAAAAUAACCUGGCACCUGUAUAAAUGUAUUGCCGAGCUUUGCUAACAAAGACAUUGCUUAAACAAGGACAUUUGAGAAAGGAGGGUAACCGGCCGACAAUUAGAGGUUAUUUUCAAGACCGUUGCCUUUGACAUCCUUCUGUAAACGUUGUCAAAAUCCAGAAUAGACCGAAACCUACAGCUCAGAAUCACACCUGUCUUCACCACUUAACCUUUUGAUGAAUAACUCCAACACAAAAAACCCGCCUGACAAGCGUUACUGCGUUGCCAUUCUAUCCAGUGAGAAAAGGCUAAAUCACAACUAAUCCCGUGUUCUUAAGAGCCUCACGACACCUCAAUUAUCCAUUACCCAUCAGCCCGUGUUUACACCGUCUCCCGCUGCACACGCACACCGCACGCUGACACCUGACGGUCAUCUGUGACUCACAAGGACAAAGGAGGAAGAUGAGUGUCCCGUGGAGAGGCGGGUGGGAGGGUUGAACUAAUGAGCGAGGCCAUUGUGGAGGAUAACAAAGCCGUCACGCUCGGCGAGAUCACAGCGAACUGCUCGUCCGCGCGCUCUCACGAAGGCCAUCCGCUGCUCGUCACACGCCCCCCGAGUGCUGACAGGUUCGGGGGCCCCUCGGCGUGUCGGCUCCCCUCCUCGGAGCGCAAAAACACCAAGGCUGCAAUUAAAGGAGGCAUUCAAAAAAAUGGCCGCACUCCGUCUGGACACAAUUAGAAAAAAAAAAAAAAAGAGCUUCUCUUCCUUUGUAAUUUUUCUUUUUGAAAGCAGAUGAUGCCGUGCUGCCAUGCUUUCAUGAACAAACCACACACACACAUGAUCAAACACAUUUUUGCUCAACGGGCUAACACACACACACACACACACACACACACACAUGCUGUUGUUGUUUUAACAGCAUCACAGGAACAACCGACGACAGUAAGAACGGGCGGUGAAAACACUUCAAGAAAAACGAGAGAUACCUGAAACAUGUGCAUGCAGCAUCUUCCACCUUCUUUCUGAUCAUCAAAAAAUACAAUCAGAAACAUUUUUUAAGUUUACCGUUUGUGUGAUUGUCAUAUAUGUGAGACACAAUGCGUGAAAAUGUGAAUUAUCCAUUUCAACCCUUUUUGACAUACCUGCAACAUCAAUGUGAACUGUUUCUUCUCCUCCAGGAGCGGCCUCCUUGUUAGUCAGGUCCAGAAUGAGGAAGAAGAAGCAAUGUGAGAUUAGUGCAUCAUCAGUAUUUCUGUAUAUCUUAGACAAUCAUUACCAUCGACAUCGGGAGAUACAUUUAGGGUAUAAGUGCGACGCUGUUUACUUCAAAAGGCAAAGACCCCAUAACAGUGUCGGCGAGCUUAUUAAUGCGACAUUGACGUCACGCGGAGGGAUAAAAUUAGCCAUUUUCCAGCUUAUAAAACCAACAUCCAAGUCGUAAACCCUGACCAGCUGAUGUGUUUUUCCAAAAAGUUGUGACAUACACAACUUGGGUUCCAGUAUAUUGGAAAUUUUGUGUAGGAAACAAACGUGUAUUGCUUGUGUCGGGCCAAAAGAACCAUUUCUAGAUCAAUUUAAAUAGCUCAUUUCUGGAAAACGUUUCGGUUCUGUUUCUGGUCCUCUUUGCCUCCAGUGCACAUCUCACGCGCACGCCGCUGCUCUGCGGCCGUGACACUGACGUCCGGGUGCUAUAAUUAGCAUUUCUUUUGGGGUGAACGGCAUUGCACUUGGCUUUGACGCAGCUGCAGGAGACGGCGGUGACAUUAAACGGGGACGCGAUGAGUUGAAAGCAAUUAAGUCCGAGGUCAAAGGUUAAGAUCAGAGGGCGUGUCGCUUAAAAUGCCACUUCGAAAGCACCUCUUUGCAAAGGCUGCAAGGACACGUUAGAAGGAUUGUUAAAGUCGCACUGACACAUCAGAGAAAAACAGCAUUAAAAGUCAGAUCAAUUUACAGUAAGUUGUUACAGUUGUAGUAGAUUUUCUCCUCUAGCUGAAGUCUGUAUUUAUUGAGUCCAGCAUGUCACUACAUUUCACCCCAGAGAAAUCUAAUAACCUGUAUAUAUAUAUAUAUAUAUAUAUAUAUAUAUAU
ensembl:lncRNA